UACGUAGGUGGCAAGCGUUGUCCGGAAUCACUGGGCGUAAAGCGCGCGCAGGCGGCGAUCUACGUCUGGGGUGAAAGCCCGGAGCUCAACUCCGGGACUGCCUUGGAUACGGGAUCGCUUGAGGAUUGGAGAGGCAAGGGGAAUUCCACGUGUAGCGGUGAAAUGCGUAGAUAUCAGUCGGAACACCGGUGGCGAAGGCGGCUUCUUGGGCCCUACCUGACGCUGAGGCGCGAAAGCCAGGGGAGCGAACGGG
rnacentral:rRNA from 1 species